rnacentral:rRNA from 1 species
UACGAAGGGGGCUAGCGUUGCUCGGAAUCACUGGGCGUAAAGGGUGCGUAGGCGGGUUUUUAAGUCAGGGGUGAAAUCCUGGAGCUCAACUCCAGAACUGCCUUUGAUACUGAAGAUCUUGAGUCCGGGAGAGGUGAGUGGAACUGCGAGUGAAGAGGUGAAAUUCGUAGAUAUUCGCAAGAACACCAGUGGCGAAGGCGGCUCACUGGCCCGGUACUGACGCUGAGGCACGAAAGCGUGGGGAGCAAACAGG